ACCUAUGAGUUCAAGUCAUAUAAAAAUAAUGAAGGAAAUUUAUAUGAAAUCUGUAGUUGCACAUGUUUAGGACCACAAGUAUUGAAAAGAAGAAGAACGCUAGUGGCGCCAUUGUAGAAAAAGUGUGAAAAUUUUGAACUAAAAUGUUAAGAUUUUUAUGUUUUUGGAAAGAUCUAAUCUAAAUCUUAUUUUUGCUCAGUAUUAUUUAUGCAGCAAAAAAUGGGCAUGACAGGACGCCAUUGUUCGUUGUUGGAAGUUCUUUUACAAUUUUUCUGAUUUUUUGGUAGAAAAGUGGUUCUUUUAUGCACUAUUUGAGCUUAUUUGGUUCCUUAAGGCCUGUUUAAUCUCCUGCAAAUGAGUGUUAUUAACAAUACACACUUAGCACAAACACCACCUAAAAGAAGAGACCUCGAUCACUCUUCAUAUAAUCCUGAUGUUUGUCCAUCGUUCAUUUACGAGAUUGGUUUUACAUUAUUCAAUUAAAAAUUUUGUAUAACAAAUCAAUGGAUGAAUACAAUUGCAGUGCAGUACAUUUAUUCUUUUGAUGUAUAUAUUACGAACAAUGCAUCAGGGCUUCCAUCUUUGGAACAAGGAUUUUUUUUCUUUCACUUCAAGGAUUCUUUUUCUCACUUCAAUUCAACCACCCCCUUCGAGAUGCCAUUAGGAUGAUUAAAUUCAACAUAUUCAACAGUCGAUUGAGAAUGAAAUUCAUCAUUGAAGAGGAAGGUAAAUAAUUUAGAACCUAGACUUUCCAGAAGCUUAGUGAAGAUUUAUCCUCAUCAGCAUGUCCAUCAACACCUCGGAUAUAUACUCUUUAAGUUACUCUUUGUUAAUAAAAUAUAAUAUGUAAAAUAAAUA